rnacentral:sRNA from 1 species
AGCUAAUUAUAACUAGCUUUAGUGUAUCUCAUGUAAAUUCAGUCAGAAACUGGUCAUCUUAACAUUCCAUAAUGCAAAUAUUGCCCACACUUUUGUUUUCUUUUUCUCUCUCUCUAUUUCUCAAGACAUUAUUUAUAGCUCUUUACAGAACUUCAAUCGCCCACUUUUCUUUUCUUUUUUCUGUUUUGAUCUAAAUUAUUCUUGAAAAAUGCUUUUUAGAGCUUUCAACAAAUUUGUUCAACAAUAAUUAUUGCAAGUUGCUGGCAACAAUAUUUUUUAAAAAAUUUUAAAUUGUUUCAGGAACUACUUUUUUUUUGCCAAGCUCUUAGUUUUGAGAAUUUUAUUAUGAAGUACAUACAUGUACACAUGUAUCUCAAUUUUUUUUGUUGCCUUCAUUUUAACAAUGCCAGAAUGUAGAGUUAAGUCCCAUUUUUUUGUGUUUUCAAUCAGUAAUUCGCAAUAUAUAGUAUACAUAUAUAUGAAUAUUUACUAGUAUAUAAGUCAUCUGUUUUCGCUGUGUAUAUGUGGAGGGUUUUUUACAAUAUUUGAAUUAAAUACCUCAAUCAGUAUACAUGCAAUACAUGUAGCACUGAACAGACUGCAGAGGCAAUCACCUUCAGAAUGAAAUGCAAAAAAAAAAAAAAAUAAUAAUAAUCUAGUCCUAUUAACUCAAUGAAACGAGUUUUCUUUUCUCACUCAAUUAUUUUUUUUUUUGUUUAUUUUUAUUCAGACUGUGAUAAAUUCGUCUCUCCCUGUUUUAAGCCCUGGGUUCUUUGGCCCCCAUCUCUGCAUUCUGUUAAGUGCUCCAUGUAAUGCAUCUAUGCCAAACUUUGAAGUUAAAACAAGUGAGUCCUUAAUACUGGCAUAAUUCUUUUGAUUGUGUUGCAAUAUGUACUCGUAUACAUACAUAUUAUAAUGUUUGCAAUAUACAUUUAUCUCUCUAUAUACAAGUACUUUGAAUGGUAUGAAAAAUCAUGGAAUUGAAUAAGAAGUUGAUCAUAUUUUGAUUUAUUGAAUUCAUGUUAUAAUGACAUUCAGCCCCAGUAUAGUAUACAAAAGGGAAAAAAAGUCCUCAGUUAUUGCGAUUCAGACCUGGCCAUUUUCAUUUCUUUCUUGUUUCUUUUAAUUUCUUUCUUAUAAUCCUGGGUUUAAGGGUCAGUCUUCUUUGAUUAAGGUGGCAGCUUUUCUGUUUCAGUAAGAAAAAAAAAAUCUCUAUAUUAUAUGGCUUAAAAAACAGCAAGGAAAUGAGGAUGGCUUUUUGCAAUCAUUCAUUGGAAACUGCCGAGUUGAGUGCAUGCUAAUUAAGGUUCACAUGUGAAAAGUGUGCAAUGACUUUUUUUUACUUGAUAAUUUAUGACCAAUAAAUCUGUUUUGAUGAAAC